AGAAUCAACGCUGGCGGCGUGCCUAACACAUGCAAGUCGAACGAGAAAGGGGAGCAAUCCCUGAGUAAAGUGGCGCACGGGUGAGUAACACGUGACUAACCUACCCUGGAGUGGGGGAUAACUGAGGGAAACCUUAGCUAAUACCGCAUAACACCUACGGGUCAAAGGAGCAAUUCGCUUUGGGAGGGGGUCGCGGCCGAUUAGUUAGUUGGCGGGGUAAUGGCCCACCAAGACAGUGAUCGGUAUCCGGCCUGAGAGGGCGCACGGACACACUGGAACUGAAACACGGUCCAGACUCCUACGGGAGGCAGCAGUGGGGAAUUUUGCGCAAUGGGGAAACCCUGACGCAGCAACGCCGCGUGGAGGAUGAAGUACUUCGGUACGUAAACUCCUUUCGAUCGGGACGAUAAUGACGGUACCGGAAGAAGAAGCCCCGGCUAACUUCGUGCCAGCAGCCGC
rnacentral:rRNA from 1 species